rfam:Musa acuminata subsp. malaccensis Doubled-haploid Pahang (DH-Pahang) genomic chromosome, chr3
GAUGCUAUGAUGAGUUUAAAUACUUGGUGUGGGCAGUGGCGGUGGCGAAUUUUGUCAUUGCCGUGAGCCUUUCUCACUAAUUAAACGACUUCUCCUUCCACUGAGCGCC